rnacentral:lncRNA from 1 species
GGGCUGUUGAGGCAUUGAAAGAUCAAGUGGGAAUCUGCAGGUGGAAUUUUAUUAUAAGGUCCGUGCAUCAACAUGCAAAGAACAAUUUGAGGUCAUCGCUCAAUCAAGCCAACAAGGCCAUCUCUUCAUCUCCAGCUUCCAGGGAGAUUUUUAAUAGUAAUAAUUUUUAUAACAAGGCGAAGAAGCCCGAGGAAAAGGUCAAAAGGGUCAUGGAUUUGAGCUGCUGGGGUCCUAGUACUGUUAGGUUUUGAUGACUUUGAUCUUGAUAAUCACCAUCAUCGUCUCAUGAAUGUACAUGAUCCGAUGUCUUCUUAUUUAGAGAUAAUUAUUUAUCUAGUUAUGUCUUUAUUUUUUUUUUCAAUUUUUAAAUGUAAUAUCAAAUUCUACCUCUUUAUCUUUGAUAUAUAUGAUAUGAGUGGAAUUUGAUGAAUUCAUUCAUAAUCCUUCUAAUCAUUUGAAGAGAUUUUGUAUCAGGUGGUUGGAUACUUAAGGAGUAUUCACCAAAUUAAUUAAUCAGUAGCGAUUUAUACUUAGUUUUUGAUUCACCAAUGCUAAGAGACAAAACUAAAAAUUUAUUAUAAAUUAAUUAAUUGUCAAUUUAUCAUCAUCGUUAUUAUCAUUGUUGACUUUCCUUGAAUUUUCCGUCUGGGUAUAAACUAUAGUGUCACAGCAAAUUGACAAUAACAAACAAUUUUUUUUUUUUUUUGAAAUUACAGCAAAAAGAUAAAUAAUUUAGAUUCAAAUACUUUGGAUUGUUUCCUGUUGGCUUGAAUAACCAAGAACUGCUUGUUGUCUUUUCUACUAGCCAAUUCUAUAAAAGAAAGGGGUCUUAGCAGAAUCAGGAGAACAGAAAAAUUCUCUUGAUUUUGAGCAGCUGCCAAAAUCACUAUUUAAAUUGUAAGAAACAAUUAAAAUGAGUACGUCGGCAGGAAAAGCUUGGAUUGUGGCAUUGAGUGUUGGUGCCCUGGAAGCUUUUAGAGAUCAGGCAGGAAUUUGCAGAUGGAAUAACAGUUUAAGUUCUUUUGCUCAGGUCAAUUUAAUUUAUGCUCCAGCUUCUGAUUUCAGGGAUAUGAUCAAUUUUUCAAGCGUUUUCAGAAACAAGAACUCCAUGGAAAAAAUCAUGCUUUUGGGCUGUUGGGGUCCUAAUACUGUUAGAUUUUAGUUCUCAAAAUUGGAAUUUUUUUCUUUUUCUUUGGGCCAACAUAAAGAUUGUAGUCAUGGACUUCUGGGUGCCAGCAUUUUAUAAUAAACAUAUGCUUAGCCAAAUUUCAUAAUUCUAUUGUCUUUUUCUUAGUUAAUUUUGCAAUGUUUGUACUGGAGAGAAGAUUUUGUUAGAAAUUAAACAUUUGAGAAAGUUCGAUUAAUUAAAAUGAUUUUAGAAGAAUUAAUUAAUGCAACCAUUUCUUUUUUUUUUUCCGUUGGAACUUUGUUAUAUCAAUACGCUAUAAGCAUAUAUCGUUAUACUUUUUUGUCAAGGCCAUCUCUAUGUUACCCUACAGUCUAUGUACUAUCAAACGAUUUGAUUUUUUUAAUUUUUCCGACUUGUUAAUACUGUCGAAACUAUACCACUGAAAACCAUUGUUGAACUCUGUUAUUAUUAAAUUUUAAGAACCUAAUUCACCAAAUUCUCAAAUUCCUUAAAUAUUACGAUUACAAUAAUUAAUAUAACUUCUUCCGGCUUCAAAAAGUGGUACUUGGCAAUUUUCAAUCAUUAAGCCACGAUAUGAAAUUGGUUAAUAAACGUAGAAGAAAAAGUAUUAUGUCAAAGCAACGAUUUUAGGUUCGAUUGUGUAUGCGCUCAAGAACGAUAUGGUAAUCGAUUUUAUUCUAUACACAGAUGGAGAGCAGUGAAUAUUAAGGAUGGCAAAAUUCAGAUAGGAUCUGAAUAUAGGUGUAUCUAGAUUUAGAUCACACAUUGAUAUUUUGAGAUUUGGAUCCGCAUCUGGAUCGGCAAAAAGAAUAUGUGGAUCGGAUGGAGUUACAAUCUCGCGGAUUGCGAGCAAAUUUUGUCAUACUUAAUUCAAUAAUUUACCUAAUAAAAUCAAAUAAAAUCUAAUUGACACUUAGAAUGACAUUCAAUAACACUAUAAAUCUACAAAUAAAAUUACCACAACAUAAAUUAAACAUUAAGAGUAAUAUAAAUCUAAGUCUAACUCAACCAUAAAUCCAAAAAUAAAAACACCAUAAGUCCACAUAAAUUUCUUUUAAAACCAUCACAAAUAAGAACAUCACCACAAAUCUACAUAGAUUUGAUUUUUUUUUUAUUUAACUUACACAUCUUUUAAUUUUAUUUUAUUUUAAUAAAUCAUUUAAUGAAAAAAUAAUGUAGAUCCAAAUAUCUGAUUUUUCAAAUGCACUUACAUUCGAAUCUACAAGAAUUUUAAUUUUUGGCAUCCAAAACCACAUUUUUUAAUGCCCAAAUCUGAAUUUUUUGGAUCUUUCAAAUAUUUAUAGAUCCAGACCGAAUUUGGAUUUUUUUUUUGUCAUCCCCAAUCAAUAUGGUAGUUUCAACAAUUUUCAACCUUUACACAUCUUCCUAACUGCUUGGCUUUUAGUAAAGAUGGCAAUGGUUCGGGAUUUGACAAUCUCGGUCCCAUCCCGAAUAGUAAAACGAGAUUUUAAUGCGGACCGAAUCCCGUCCCGAAUAGUUAAACGAGAGAAAAAUAAUGAACUAAUCCUAGACAGCUCAAAAUCCCGUCCUGGACCAAAUGGCCCAACGUCCCAAAUGUCCCAUUUAAUAAAUACUAUAAAUUUCAUUAAAAUAUUAAAAAAAUAUUUAAUCCAGUGAUUCUAUAAAAUUGUUAACAUCUCAAUAGACAUUAUAAUCAUGGGAUGUGCAAUUAAACCAAAAAUAACAUCCAAAAGUAAAUUAACUAAUUGUAAAGCAUCCAAAAAUAAACCAACAUAUAAUAACCAACAAAAGCAUCCAACUUCUAAAAAAAAAAAAAAAAACAAAAACAAAAGCAUCCAAGAUUUUUGUCUACAUUCUUCAACUCCAAGUUCAUACUUUUGGAUCAACCUAUAAAAAUUAGAAUAUGUAAAGAAUAAAUUAGAAAAACAAAUAAUAUUAUACAUUGAUAAUUACAUGAUAUGCAUUUAAUAACGUUUAAAAACAUUAUUAGUUACGGAAAUGCUAGAUGAGGUGGUUGAAGUUAAGCAAAAAAUGGGGAUGAGCAACAUGCAGUUGUGUUUUAGUUUUAGAUUAAAAUACUUUUAGGUUUCCAUUUUAAUAUUUUUGUUUUAGAUUUAUUUAAUUAAACUAAAAAUAAUACAACAAACGGGCUUGUGAUUGGUACUUGGGCUUAGGAUAUAUUGUUUUAAUGCUAUUUGAAUCACGAUUUCUUAACUAUUAGUUUAAUUUUACUUAUUUUUAAUUUUAUUAAUAUAAUAUUUCUUUCAAAAAUUAAAUGGGACAAACGGGAUCCCGCGGGAUCCCGACUUAGAUCCCAAUCCUUUUCCACAAAGAAAAUUGAGAUUUUUUUUUUCAAUAUUAAAUCCCGCCCGCUUUUAAAAUUUGAUUCUAAAAUAUGGAUCAAUACAGUCCCAAUAGUUCGGGAUCCCAAAUUCCGAAUGUGAUUUGCGAUUUUUUGUCAUCCCUUGGAGUAGGUAUCUAGUUCAUUGCUUUAGGUAUUAGCAAUAGCACUAUGCUGUUCUUGUGCAUAAAUUACGGAUUGGUUGUAUUUAACAGUAAUUUAACGUUAAAUUGUGCAGACUGAGUGAUAUUUGGACAGCAACGUUAACAGUAAGUUAACGUUAAUUUCAAUAUUUGGAUCCUCUGCGAUUCUUUUCUAUUAUUUUGAGUGAUAUUUGGACAAUACUGAUUGCAGAAUCAUAAAUUUCGAAUUACAAUAAAGGAGGUAAAAUUGCGAUAAUACAAUAUUUAUUUCAUAAUUUAAUCUGCCCUCUCUUUCACUCUGGAAAGUUCCAGCUUCAGUUACAUCUCAUAUUCCGAAAGCCGACAGCGGAUCAAAAACGUCAAUAGAAAAGUUAUCCGUGUUAGUAUAUAACCAUGUGCAUAUUAAAAGUACUUGCCCACAAAGUCAGCAAAACCGUAUAGUCAUCACUCCACUCAGCAGCCAUUUGUCAUUCGUCAUUUGUCACCACCCAUUGAAUUAUUUUUUGAAACCAAAAAAAAAAAAAAAACCAGCAUCUCUCUGUCCAUAGGCCUGGGAUCCAAACCCACGAAUGGUUUCACUUUCCCGAAAAACAAACAGAACCCCGGUUUUUUUUUUUUUUUUAAGUAAUUCGACCUUUUUAACAGCUCUCUAUUAUUUUCCUAUAUAAGUACCCAAAUCCAACGAACAAACUGUCACUUAAAAGUCCAAGAACUCAACAACCUCUCUACUCUCUAUAAGUUGCCCAUCAAAUUUUCUUCCGGAACCCAACUUAAUAUUUUAUCGUUUAUAAUCAUUAAAAGAAGUAUUUGGGGGUGAGGAGAGUAUAGUAAGAGACAUGAGCAGCAACGGUGGCAGAGUUUGCAAGUUUGAUUCAGCAUUCAUCAAGUAUGUGCUGCAAGAAUCUUGUGGCUAUAAUAAGGGCAACAAUAAUUCUAUUGCAAGGAGUCUUGCUGGUGGCGUUAGUAAUAAUAAUAACAGUCAGGGUAUCAAGAGGUUUAAUGGAGAUGAGAUCAAGAAAAAAAGGAGGCAACAAGAGAAGGCUGAGAUGCUCUUCCACCUAAUUUGCUGGGGACCCAAUUAAUUUAUUAUUUGUAUUUCUUCUUUUUCUUCAUUAUUUAAAAAAAAAAAUCAUAUGGGAGAGAAAGAGAUGUAUUGGUUUAUCUUUAUUGUAGGAAUCUUGGUGCUUAUGGAAAUAAAUCAUAUGCUUUCAAUUUAUUGGAUUUUCAAUUUCAAAUGAUUUUUAUUUAAACAUAAAAAUUAGCUCGGAUAUUUAGGCAUUAAAAAAAAAGGUCAUUCACAUCCAAACAUCCUUCCAGAAUUUUCUAUUAGAAACAAUCUAGAAUUUCAACUCAAUUUAGGUAUACUAAAAAUUUGAUGUAAAAUAUAUAAUUUGAUGGAUAUUUUAGUAAUUUCAAUAAAUUUAUCAUAGAAGAUUAAAAAAAGAAAAUAAAUUAAAGCUUAGCAACGAGUAGAGUAAAAAGUCUUCGUUUUGUGAAUGAUAUUGUAAACGGUGGAUUUACUGCUUGUAAAAGUAUAGUUGUGGAUUAAAUGUUUAGAUUUCAGGAACCCGAAGGCAUGAUAAGAAAAUAGAAGAGUAAACGAAAAGAAUAAUGACAUUGUAAAAUUUCAUGUAUUAAAAUUAUCUAAAUUAAUUAAACAAUCAUCUUCCGAAUUGGGAGAUGGACCUGCCACAGUCAUUGUCCAGACAAAAGAAACUCGGUGUUGACAAAAAAAAUUUAGUAAAUCGAAUUUCAGGCAAAAUAUCAAUAUCAUUUUUCUAUUUAUAAUAAUGUAUAAUUAGAUAUAAUUACAUAUUAUUUCUUAUUCAAUAAUUACCUAAUAUAGGUCCUCUUUGUGAUUGAAAUGCGAUAAUUUUUAAAUUACAACUAUUUUGAAAAAAAAACUAUAAUUAUAAAAUAAAAAUUAAUAGUAUAUAAUAAAUAUAACUUUUAAAUAAUUUUUAAAAAGAUAAUAGAUUUUUUAUUAUAAAAGUAAAAAAUUAUAUUAAUAUAUCUUUCAAACUACUAGCGGCCAACUUUUAUUAAUCCCAAACAGAAUCAUAAUAUUAUUAAAAAAAUAAUUUUUUAGGAGUAACGAGACAUCUGUGUCUAGAUAUUGAUACAAAGUAUUUGAUCAACACAUUUGUAAGAGAAGACCUAGUAAUGCAAAUUUGUUGGCACUAUAAGAUUAAAAUAUGGAGUAAUGGUUUUUUUGCAAUGCUCAGUUCUAUUUUCUAGGAAGAUAUUUUUAUUGGCUGCACGUUGAUAGAAACUAGGAUGGUUAAUAGCUUGUAAUUGGAGGCAAAUCACGAACAAAAUUAAUUCCAAUAAACCAAGCAUUAAAGUAGUCAACGAAACCAAACAUAAAACAAAUGUCAUUCCAAAUUAAUCUAUUUAAAACAGGGACAAUGAUAUACCGAAAGUCUAAAGUAAUUGAAAUGAAAACUGAAUACCAAACCCAACGACUAAGACCAUUGUUCAAGCCACAUAAGUGGAUUAAAUGGAUGGAAGGGAUCUGUCUCAAAGAAUGGCUCAAUGCUUCCAUUCUCCAUGUUAUAAAUUCCAGUAUCUUUACCUCCUGCUUCAACGUAUUCCUCGGCGGCCAGGUACCAAUAAGAGUCGACAAAAUCAUCAGUGAAAUAAAUGCAAUUGGGUUUACACUCAGAAUUACUUGAUGCGUCAACAGACAGUGAAGAAUUAAAACCCAAAAAGAGGGAUCUGUUACCCAAAUUCUGGAUCUUCGACCAUUUAUUAGUACUUAGAUCGACCUCAAAAACCUGAAACCCCAACGUUCUGAAAGUGUUCUCCUCCGUUAGGUAGCCUAGAUGAGUAGGUGGUACUUGUACUCCCCUCCUUGAAACCACAAAUAAUGUGCCAUCUUCAGACUCAACCAUAUACAAAUACUCCACAACAUCUUCAAUAAAUUCGGCAGGUAAUUCCGCGAUUCUUGUAGCAGUACUGUCAUCAUCUUUGACGGCAAAUAUUUGACCAAAAGCAUUGAUAGCAUAAAAUUGAUUUUGGAAGUAAAUAGCAUCAACAAAAUGUUUAGCAUUAUUAGACGUGUUAAUUUUUCUCCAAACUUGACCGCCUGGCCUAGCGCAGCCCAAAUUCCCGUCUCUUCCGUAAAGAAGCAUGGCUUGUAAUGAAUCGGGGUUGGACGAAGAUAAUACGCAUUUGGUUAAUAUGAAAGUAAUAAAGCAACCCUCUUCACAAUGCCGAUUAUGCUCAUACGGAUCAGAAGCUACCAAGGUUUCGAUGGAAGGCAGUUUAAGUUGAAGGCGUGAAAAAGGAUGCACAAGAGUCAUAUAAUUGGGACUGAUGCAUGAAUCGAUAAAUUUAAUAAGCCAACCCCGUGAAGAAAAGUACCUACCGUUUUCAUACUUUUCAGGGUAAGGAUCUUCAGGUCAAUUUACUCGGAGGAGGCUGCUACUGCUGCCCUUCGAAAGAUCCAAGAAACUAAUGGAACCGUUUUUGGGUGGCAGCAUAAGCAGAGGAUUGCACUCGAUAUGUUUAUCUGAAACUGCAGCCGAUGCCGAUGCAGAUUUCCAGCGCCGCUUGGAGUUGGAGAAACGAAUUGAAUAUUUUUUCGGAGGAAGCGUACGCCAAGGAACUGUGGCCGAUCUGUCUAAAGUGCGAACCCCGGCAAAAGAAACAAAAUCCUGAAGCAAUUUUGCGGACGAGUAGGCCAUUGUUUUAGUAGGCUGUUCUUCUCUUCACGAUGGCAAAUUAGAGCAAAUCUCUGUGGCAUUUAUAUUUGAUUUAGUCUCACCCUCUCAUAAUUGGAGAAGGAAAGCGGUUUUCCUUUUGCAGUCGGACUAUGAAUCUCACGUAUUUCUAGAAACAUUCAACGGCCAAGAUCUCAGUCUUUGGAAUGGACGACUCUUUCGAUUGCCUUGAAAGACUUGCUUGGCUAUUUUUUAAGUCCUUUCAGUUUUCACGUGACUUGCCAGAAAGUGCAAAACUAUUUUUCAUUUUAUUUAUUUUUUUCUUUUCUAAACAAGCUUUUAAUUAUUUAUUUAAUUUUUAUUUCAAGGAAAAAAAAAACACUAAUCACUUACUAAAUUUGCCAUGCUAAGACCCCGAUUGUGGCCAAAAUUUAAUAAAAUGUUUAUUUCAUAAUUUUUGAUAAAAAUUAUAAAAUUUAUUUAUUUUAUAAUUUUUUUUAUUUUAAUAACAAUUUUUAAAAAUAAGUAGAGGAUUGUUUUUCAUAAACAACUUAUUCAAUAAGUCACUAUUCUUUUGAAAAUUUUCUGUUAUAACCUUAAUAUUUUAACAAAAAGAUAACUAUGUCCUAUUUUUUCAUAUACCUAAUGUAUAAGUCAUUAGAUAUCAUAUUACAAGCAUAAUCAAAUUACCCUUACAAUUUUAAAGUUUUGAUCCGGUAAAUUUAUAUUUUUCAUAUUUUACUUUUAUCUUCUAUUAUAAAAUUUAAUAAGACUUACAUAUGAUUACGUAAAUUUUCUUUAAACUAUGAACAAUUUUGCAUGGAAUUUAACCACAACUUUUAAAAUCAAUUUCAUAACUAUUGAUUUUUAACAUUCAAUCAUAUAUAUUUUUUCUACAUACAAAGUGUUUAUUGCAAUAAGUUAAAUAUGAAUGUAAUACAUAUUACUUUUUUAUUUUAUUUGGAUUAUGUCUUGAUAUGAAUUUUUAUCAUAUUUUAUGUAACAUAUUAUGAAGUUCCUUAAAUUUUAUAUAAUUGAUUUUUUUUUCACUUUAUGUAACUUUAUGUAUUUUAAAAAGAAAAAGAAAUGUCUAAAAAUUAUUAAAUAUACUCUAAAAAAUAAAAAUAAUUUAAAAUUACGUUUAUUUUGGUCAUUACCUAAUAAAAUAAUAUUUUAAAAAUUUGCUACCCGUACAUUACUCAAUAACAAUAUAAUUUACCAAACACUAAAUUAUUUUUUUAUUCAACAACUUAUUUUAUCUGCACAACAAAUGCAACUUAUUUGGUUAGCCGCUGCAAUCCCGAACCGGCACUAACUUGGGCUAAAAUGCAAAACGAAAGCUAUGAUCCGUUGAGACCCACGACUUACUUAGAAAGCAAUGUCCUCUUUCAUCGUUAGGAAUCUAACGUGGAGAAAGGAAGUGACUUCCUAAUCAAACUUGAGAUGUUCCAUUUAUUGCAUUCAGACUCGCAGUUGCCUACAGAUACCUGAUGUUUCAUGUGACUUCUCUUAAAAAUUAAGAUAGUUUAUUUAUUUGUCUAAAAGUUACGAUAAUUUUUUUUUCCUCGAAUUCAUGCUCGAACAAAGAAAUCAAAAGAUGAUCAAUGAAAAACAACAUAUACAACAAGUAAGUUAAGUAUAUUUUGAGGAUUUACGUACGUAUAAGGAUUUACAAAAACAUAAUAAAAAUAUUUUGUUAUAGAGAUUUAUAGUAAAUAUUAUGGUUCCAUCUAAUACCUAAUUAUUUAUUUAAAAUCUUUAUAAUAAAUACAAAAUAUUAUUAAAAUAAAUGUAAUAAUUUACACAUUUAAAUUGUUUUAGAUAUUAAAAACAUAUUAAUAUUAUUAGUUUACUAGAAAGAUUAUAUUAUUUAUAUUGAGUUUAUAUUUAUUAAGAAAAUUUAAAGUCUAUUUUUUAAUUACUCUAUCAAAAGAGUAUUAUAGUUAAAAGGAAGUCUUAACAUCAUUUUAAAAAAAAUUAGGGUUCUCUACGACCAUUUUUUCAAAUUUUGAGGGUAUAACUGUUCUUUUCUCGCAUUCAAUUUCUAUAAUAGAACUCCUAGUGACUAUUACUAGAGUAAUAGUAAUGGCUUUAACUUUUUGAACAAUUUGCGUGGAGAGCAAGAUAAGCUAACAUAUAAUAGAAGAAAAGCCUAAAGAUGGAUAUAGGGCUCAAGAUUCCGCUUUUGACACUUAUAGCAUAUUCUAAGUCUUUGUUUGGUAUUGAGGUGCUGUAAGUUAAAAAUUACAGUUACGGUAAAAAAAAUUAACUAUGAAAUAAAAGUUAUUAGUGUAUUGUGAAUAUCAUUUUUAAAUAAAUAUUUUGAUAAAAAUUGUAAGAAAUAUGAUAGAUUUUUUUUUUAUCAUACAACUGCUAAAUAAAAGAAUUUAACUUCUAAACCACAAUUAUAGGUAUUUACUAAAUGCUUUAAUUCUGUAAUUUUUAAGAUAUAGUUGUCCCACCACACUAUUGAAUAAUGCCUAAUUCAUUUGUUAAAAAUUGUAGCAACGUUGAAGGGAGUUGUUUUGAUGUUUGUGGUGGCAGUGUUUUGUGUCAUUGCUUUUGAGUGUUUCAGCAGAAGAAACGGCACCGUUGCCAGCGCCGUCCAUGGGUAAACAAAUAUACUAUUCAAUGGGAUUUCUUGGACUAUCAUUUCACUUCUUUUUUUUCUCUUGUCAGCUAUUGCUUUCUUGAAGCAUCAAAUUGUCCAUUGUUAUACAAAUUUUAUGGUACUGUUAAAUUUAGAAAAAAUACUUUAAGGUGGUGUUUAGUUGGGAGGAGAGUAUGGAGGAGAGGAAAAUAAUUUAAAUUCUCUUUUUAUUUUCAUUGUUUGGUUUGACAAAAUUUAUAAGAAUUUAAUUUCCAUUAGAAUUUAAUAUCCAUCGUAAUAUAGAAUUUGAAUUCCUCACCUAGUAAUGAAGAAUUUAAAUUUCUCUUAUGUUAGAAAUUAAAGUUUUUAAAAUUACUCUUCAACUUUUUAACUUGUUUAAUGCUAUUAAUAAUUAUUAUUUAUAAUUUUAUUUUAUGGAUUUAAUAUUAUAAAUGGACCUUCGCCGGAAAGUCACCGGAUGUAGCCGGACUUUCGCCAAAAAGUCAUUGGACCUCCAUUGGACAUCGCUGGACCUUCACCGCUGGCAACUGGACUGCCAUUUUAUUAUAUAUAUAUAUUAUUAAUAUAAAUAGUUUAAUUUUUAAAGUAAAUGAUAAAUUUGUUUAAAAAAAAUUAUAAUUAAUUUCCUUAUCAAAUUUUAUAUCAAACCAAACAAUAAAAUCUAAUUUCACUACUUUUCUCCAUUCUGUUCUUCUCUCUUUCGCUCCAUUCAACUCUUUUUUUCUCCUCCUGUUUCUUCAAACCAAACUUAGCCUAAAUUCCUCUACUGAAUUGUCCUUAGCCCAUAGAAAUUUUCUUUUUUUCUCCCCCCUCAAGAGAUAGCCCAUAGCAAAGUCGUUCCCGUAAUUGUAUAGAAAAGAACAACAUGGGCCUCAACUCACUCCAGCCGAAUAGACAAACUUAAGAACAAAUGCAAGGAAGCCCGAAACUGUUCAAUUAACCACCUUAGAGAAGAAACUUAUGAGACAAGCUAUAGGUGCCUUGUUGAUGAAGUAAAAUGCCAGGAGCUGGGAAUUUGAACACAAACUGAUCUCUGCAGACGUUGUACAUACAGUACAAAGUACAGUCAAGGCUGAUUUAACGGUUACAUCUGGGGCUACACAAUCAUACCAUUAGAGAUCUAAUCUCAAUUAGUUGGAGAGCACAACAAUAAUGGUGAAAAUUCAUACUCUGUAAAGAAUUCAUCAAUAAAAUGAACAUCUCCAUACAUAGAUCUAUUAUUAUCUCUACUAAAAUAACUUUAACUAAUUGAGUUAAGAAAUAAAUCCAAGUCUACUCAGCCAUGGCUCUGGCUACUGAUAAUUUACUUUAUAAAAUCAUAUGCAUUAAGGAAAUCAAAAGCCCUUUUCUAGUUACUUUCAGAUAAUUCACUUUAUCAAUUCAUAUGCAUUUGAGGAAAUGAAAGCCCUUUUAUUUUUAGGCGACCAUUAAAAGUUCAGCUAAAAAAGAUGAGCUUUGUAUGUGAUCUUAUGUAUGUAUGUUGAAUGAAUCAUGACGUUAUGUCAUUGUAAUGAUGUUAUACUUCUUUAAUGAAAAACAUGCUCUCUUUUGAAAAAAUACUAUUAAAUAUUUAUGAAUCUAAUUUAUCUUUUCGCAUACCUCUUAAAAACAACUAUCCUUAAACAAAAUCAAAUCCACAUUUCUCUACUUUAACCUCUCCUUUAUGCUUUCACAAAUGACGUAACACACAAUAUGACAUAUCUUCAUGGUGGCAUGAAAUCUUUUUUAUUUUUACUUUUUAUUUUUAUUAUGUUGGUUCUUUUUCUUUUUGGUGGUACUGCGAAUGCAAAAACUAAGAGAUCAUCAGCAAUAACUAAGAGACCAUCAACUACAACAAAUCAUUUCACCAAAAAAAAAAAAAAAGAUCUCAAAUCCAAAGGUCUGAAACGUAUUAUUUGAUUGACAAAAUUUGAAUUAGACUUUUUAAAUUUAAAACUAGCUAUUGAUGUAAUUAUUUUUAUUACUAUUCUUUUAUUCAUAGGUGAUAUAUAUAUUGUGAAUUGUGAUAAUUGAAAUAUAAAGGUGAAUGAAAGAGCAUCUAUGUACUUUUAAUUAUUUUUUUAUUUUUUAAAAAAUAAUUCACUAUUAAAAAAAAAACAAAGAUUAUUAGGGUAUAAUGUUGUAAAGUAAAAUGUGGGUACUAACUGAAUAACUACAUUCUUCUAUUUUGACUGAUUUUCGGACUAUAUUAAAAAUAGAAUCAUAAAUUUUUCCAUCAUAUAAUUAAAACAAUGAGGGAAAUUGCAACAAUAUUUCGUAAUUUAAUAUUGGUGGCAAAUUGGUAAUUGAAGUUGGUGGCGUUAAUAACAAUAAAAAUAAUGAGGCUAUCAAGAGGGUUAAUGGAGAUGAGAUCAAUAAUAUUAAAACAAAUGAGGGAUAUUUGCUAGGCUCCCAAUUAAUUAGUUAUUUUUCAUUUCAUUUUUUCAUUAUUAAAAAAAGAUUUGUUCUUUAAUGUAUGUAAUUACAAUCAAUUAAAAAUUGUAAGUAGAACUUUUAUAUUUGAAAAGUAUUUAAUUAUCAGGCUUAAAUAAAUUAAACAAUUAAAAUUUAUUCAUCAUUUUAAAAUUUAAAAAUAUUAUUAGUCAAAAUUUUAAAUAAUAAACUAAAUUCAACCCAACAAAAAAGUAUUUAGGUGCCGUUAUUUGUUUGCCAGAGGCACUUUGACUCUCUUUGAAAAACUAGAUGUUGAUGAUUCUUCUAUUAAAAAAACUAUUCAAAAUACUCAAAUUUUAUUUUCUAACUUGUCCUCUUAGUUAACGUAUCUAAUAAUAAAAUAUCAAAAUUUACAUAAAAAAUUUAUGAAAAUGUUGAUAAUUGUUACUAUAUGUUUUUUUCAAGUUAUUUUGAUACUAGUAACGAUGCUAUAUUAUAUUAACAUACUUUCUUUUCAAUUAGAAUUUUUUAAAAAUAGAUUAAAGCAGUAAUAACCUUUUAGACCCCUAGCGUUUUCAAUCCAUUCAAUAAAUAUAUAAUUUAAUCAUUUUAUAAAAUGAGUCACCAAUUUCAAUUGGAAAAAUAAUAUAAUUGAGUUAGGGACAUAUUUGAAAAUAAAAUAAAAGUUCUAUUGUUAUAUGAAAUUGAUAAAACAGAAGGGUAACUAAGUUAGGGAUAUUUUCUCAAAAAAAAAAAGUUAGGGACAUAUAUGAAAAUAAAAUAGAAAUUCUAUUUCUUUCCAUAAAUAAAAUUAAUCAAAAUUAUAUUAUUUAAAUAAUUUUUUCUGGACUAGCGUCCAGGUGUAGGUCCGCCACUGAGCUGCACUAUGCUGUUCUCGUGCAUAAACUACGGAUUGUAUUUAAUAGUAAGUUAACGUAAAUUGUGGAGAUUGAAUACUUUCAAUAUUUGAAUCCUCUGCGAUUCUUCUCCAUUAUUUUGAGUGAUAUUUGGACAAUACUGAUUGCAGAAUCUGCUGUACCGUACAUCCGCCUUGGCCGUACAGCAGUAUUAUUUUCCUAUAUAAGUACCCAAAUCCAACGAACAAACUGUCACUUAAAAGUCCAAGAACUCAACAACCUCUCUACUCUCUAUAAGUUGCCCAUCAAAUUUUCUUCCGGAACCCAACUUAAUAUUUUAUCGUUUAUAAUCAUUAAAAGAAGUAUUUGGGGGUGAGGAGAGUAUAGUAAGAGACAUGAGCAGCAACGGUGGCAGAGUUUGCAAGUUUGAUUCAGCAUUCAUCAAGUAUGUGCUGCAAGAAUCUUGUGGCUAUAAUAAGGGCAACAAUAAUUCUAUUGCAAGGAGUCUUGCUGGUGGCGUUAGUUAUUUCUCUAUAUAAGUACUCCAAUCCAACGAACAAAGUGUCACUUAAAAGUCCAAGAACUCAACAACCUCUCUACUCUAUAAGUUGCCGAUCAAUUUUCCUUCCAGCACCCAACUGAAUAUUUUAUCGUUUAUAAUCAUUAAAACAAGUAUUUGGGGUGAGGACAGUGUAGUAAGAGACAUGAGCAGCUACGGUGGCAGAGUUUGCAAGUUUGAUUCAGCAUUCACCAAGUAUGUGCUGCAAGAAUCUUGUGGCUAUAAUAAGGGCAACAAUAAUUCUAUUGUAACGAGUCUUGCUGGUGGCGUUAAUAAUAUUAAUAACAACAAUCAGGGUAUCAAGAGGGUUAAUGGAGACCAGAUCAAGAAAAAGAGGAGGCAACAAGAGAAGGCUGAGAUGCUCUUCCACCUAAUUUGCUGGGGACCCAAUUAAUUUAUUAUUUGUAUUUCUUCUUUUUCUUCAUUAUUUUUAAAAACAAAUCAUAUGGGAGAGAAAGAGAUGUAUUGGUUUAUCUUUAUUGUAGGAAUCUUGGUGCUUAUGGAAAUAAAUCAUAUGCUUUCAAUUUAUUGGCUUUCAAUUUCAAAUAAUUUUUAUUUGAACAUAAAAAUUAGCUCAGAUAUUUAGGCAUAAACAUCCUUCCAGAAUUUUCUAUCAGAAAUAAUUUAGAAUUUCAACUCAAUUUAGAUAUAUUAAAAUGUUGAUGUAUAAUACAUAAUUUGAUGGGUAUUUUAGUAAUUUGAAUAAAUUUAUCAUAGAAGAUUAAGAAAAUAAAAUAAAAUCAAACAGUGGAUUUACUAUGCGUAAAAGUAUAAGACACAUGUACUAUUCAUAUAAGGGGAGUGUAUCUUACAUGCAUGUAAGAUAGAGAUUGCCAAAAUAUAAUUGUGGGUUAUAUGUUUAGAUUUCUACAACCCCGAAGGCAUGAUAAGAAAAUAAAAUAGUAAACGAUAAGAACAAUGAAAUUGUAAAAUUUCAUGUAUUAAAAUUAUCUAAAUUAAUUAAACAAUCAUCCUCCGAAUUGGGAGAUGGUCAUGGCACAGUCAUUGUCCAGACAAAAGAAACUCGGUAAAGCGAAUUUCAGGCAAAAUAUCAAUAUUAUUUUUCUAUUUAUAAUAAUUUAUAAUUAGAUAUAACUACAUAUUAUUUCUUAUUUAAUAAUUACCCAAUAAAAGUCUUCUUUAGAAUUGAGAUGCGAUAACCUUUAAGUUACAAUUACUGUGGGAAAAAUAUCUAUAAUUAUAAAAUAAUAAUUUUGAUAAAAUUAUUAAAGGUAUAAUAAAUUUUUCAUUAUAGAAGUGAAAAGUUAUAUUAAUAUACCUUUCAAACUAUUAGCACCCAACUUUUACUAAUCCCAAAUAGAACCAUAAUAUUGUUAAAAAAUAAUUUUUUAGGAGUAAUGAGACAUCUAUGUCUCUUAACAUCAUUUAAAAAAAAAAAUUAGGGUUUUCUAAGACCAUUUUUCAAAUUUUAAGGGUAUAACUGUUCUUUUCUCACAUUCAAAUUCUAUAAUCGAACUCCUAGUGACCAUUACGAGAGUAAUAGUAAUGGCUUUAACUUUUUGAACAAUUUGCGUGGAGAGCAAGAUAAGCUAACAUAUAAUAGAAGAAAAGCCUAAAGAUGGAUAUAGGGCUAAAUAUUCCGCUUUUGACACUAAAAGCGUAUUCUAAGUCUUUAUUUGGUAUUGAGGUGCUGUAAGUUAAAAAUUACAGUUACGGUAAAAAAAGCUGUAACUAUGAAAUAAAAGUUAUUAGUGUAUUGUGAAUAUCAUUUUUAAAUAAAUAUUUUGAUAAAAAUUGUAAGAAAUAUGAUAGAUAUUUUUUUUUUAUCAUACAAGUGCUAAAUAAAAGAAUUGAACUUCUAAACCACAGUUAUAGGUAUUUACUAAAUGCUUUAAUUAUGUAAUUUUUAAGAUAUAGUUGUCCAACCACACUAUUGAACAAUGCCUAAUUUUUACUAAAUGCCUAAUUUUUAUAUCAAACCAAACAACAAAAUCUAAUUUCACUACUUUUUUCCAUUCCGUUUUUCUCCUCUAUUUUUUUCAAACCAAACAUAGCCUAAAUUCCUCUACUGAAUUGUCCUUAGCCCAUAGAAAUUUUCUUUUUUUCUCCCCCCUCAAGAGAUAGCCCAUAGCAAAGUCGUUUGCAUAAUUGUAUAGAAAAGAACAACAUGGGCCUCAACUCACUCCAGCGGAAUAGACAAACUUAAGAACAAAUGCAAGGAAGCCCGAAACUGUUCAAUUAACCACCUUAGAGAAGAAACUUAUGAGACAAGCUAUAGGUGCCUUGUUGAUGAAGUAAAAUGCCAGGAGCUGGGAAUUUGAACACAAACUGAUCUCUGCAGACGUUGUACAUACAGUACAAAGUACAGUCAAGGCUGAUUUAACGGUUACAUCUGGGGCUACACAAUCAUACCAUUAGAGAUCUACUCUCAAUUAGUUGGAGAGCACAACAAUAAUGGUGAAAAUUCAUACUCUGUAAAGAAUUCAUCAAUAAAAUGAACAUCUCCAUACAUAGAUCUAUUAUUAUCUCUACUAAAAUAACUUUAACUAAUUGAGUUAAGAAAUAAAUCCAAGUCUACUCAGCCAUGGCUCUGGCUACUGAUAAUUUACUUUAUAAAAUCAUAUGCAUUAAGGAAAUCAAAAGCCCUUUUCUAGUUACUUUCAGAUAAUUCACUUUAUCAAUUCAUAUGCAUUGAGGAAAUCAAAGCCCUUUUAUUUUUAGGCGACCAUUAAAAGCUCAGCUAAAAAAGAUGAGCUUUGUAUGUGAUCUUAUGUAUGUAUGUUGAAUGAAUCAUGACGUUAUGUCAUUGUAAUGCUGUUAUACUUCUUUAAUGAAAAACAUGCUCUAUUUUAAAAAAAUACUAUUAAAUAUUUAUGAAUCUAAUUUAUCUUUUCGCAUACCUCUUAAAAACAACUAUCCUUAAACAAAAUCAAAUCCACAUUUCUCUACUUUAACCUCUCCUUUAUGCUUUCACAAAUGACGUAACACACAAUAUGACAUAUAUUCAUGGUGGCGUGAAAUCUUUUUAUUUUUACUUUUUAUUUUUAUUAUGUUGGUUCUUUUUCUUUUUGCUGGUACUGCGAAUGCAAAAACUAAGAGAUCAUCCGCAAUAACUAAGAGACCAUCAACUACAACAAAUCAUUUCACCAAAAAAAAAAAAAAAGAUCUCAAAUCCAAAGGUCUGAAACGUAUUAUUUGAUUGACAAAAUUUGAAAUAGACUUUUUAAAUUUAAAACUAGCUAUUGAUGUAAUUAUUUUUAUUACUAUUCUUUUAUGGCUGAAACUACAAUGCGUCGUGGGUUUGGUGCCACAGUCGUUUGUCAGUUAGCAAAGUGAGCGUUGGAUUUAAUCCCACGGCUGCAGAAGAGAGGCAGACAUAAAGGGCAGUUACCUCAGGAAAAGGUAAGAGCCGGUCAGCUGGAGAAAAGAUGGGUUUAAUAAGAAAUAGCAUCCAUGUGUAAUGAACAUGUAGUUUUUUAGGAAGGCUGUUGUAACCAAAGAUUAUAGUGGUUCGGCAAAUUUCUUUGCCUACAUCCACUGUGGAAAACAAAGCAAACUCUUUACUGAUUUCAGAGAACAAGUUACAAAUCUGGAGAAUACAUGUAAAUGAAUCGAUACCCUAAACAACAGAUCAUAUGCCCUUUUAUACUCCACUCGGAUCAAUCAGAAAGAACCUGAAGAAGCCAGUUCACGCUCAUGGGUUUCCAGCCAAACAGACCUCCAGCUGCUUCCCGCGUGAUCUAACGGAAAAAACCACUUCUGGAAUUUGCUUAGGGACACUUGUCAAACGUUCAUGUAAUCUGUUGAUUAAAACGCAGAGUUGGCUUGCCGUUUGAGUUAGUGAAACAUGUGACGCAUCACGUGCAUUACUAAUGAAUCCAGCCGACAUAUCGUUUGUAUCAACCAGCUGCUCUGAACUCAAAUGCUUGACAUGUCGUUUAUCCUCGCUGACAAACAGACGACGUGUCAUACACAUCCCUGAGAUCAGAUUUGAGCUUCAUAAUUCCAACACUCUCCACCUUGAACUCAAAUCAGUUACCCUUUUGCUUAUGCUUUCCACUGUAUCCCUGCAGUUUUAUAGCCUGUAGAUCCCAGCUGAGUUCAUGCAGAACUCCAGCUUGGCUGCUGGUACAGCCUUUGUCAACAUAUCAGCAAGGUUAUCAUCAGUAUGAAUCUUUAACAGCUUCACCACACCUUUAGACACCUCCAGCCUGACAAAGUGCAGUUUGAUGUCAAUAUGCUUUGUCUUUUCGUGAUGCACCUGGUUCUUGCUUAGACAAAUUGCACUUUGACUGUCACAAUGAACAGCCACCUGUCUUUGUUCAAAUCCUAAUUCCGUAACCAUUCCUUUGAGCCAUAUUGCCUUCUUAAAGGCUUCUGCAGUUGCAGUGUACUCUGAUUCUGUUGUUGACAAAGCAGCAACACUUUGCAGUGAAGCUUUCCAGUUUAUGGUGCAGCCACUGAGUGUGAACAAAUAGCCUGUUAGAGAUCUCCUUUUAUCUAGAUCCCCUGCAUAGUCAGCAUCCACAUACCCUUCAACAUCAACUUCUGUACCUCCUUUUAAACCAUAGAUGAGGCUAUAAUCUGCAGUCCCACUGAGAUAUCUUAAGAUCCAUUUUACAGCUCUCCAGUGCUCCUUUCCAGGAUUACCCAUAUACCUGGAAACUACACUUACUGCAUGAGAGAUAUCUGGCCUUGUUAGGACCAUGGCAUACAUUAAGCAUCCCACAGCACUUGAGUAUGGAGUUGUGCUCAUCUCAGCUUUUUCAUCUUCAGUUCUUGGACACUGAUUACAUGACAACCUGAAAUGAGCUGACAGUGGAGUUUGAACUGGUUUUGAGUUCACCAUUUCAAAUCUCUCAAGUACUUUCUUUAUAUAGCAGUGCUGUGAUAGCUUUAGUAUUCCCUUCUUACUAUCUCUUAGCAAUUCUACUCCAAGGAUCUUCUUGGCUGCUCCAAGAUCCUUAAUCUCAAAUGCAUUCUUUAACUGCUUCUUCAGCACAUCUAUAUGAUCCAUAUGUUUACAUGCUAUAAGCAUGUCAUCAACAUAUAGCAAUAGAUAGAUCUUAUCUCCAUCUAUCAAGUUUUUGUGGUACACACAGCAAUCAUAAGAGCACCUUUGAAAGCUGUUCUCAGCCAUAAAUUUAUCAAAUCUCAAGUACCAUUGUCUCGGGGAUUGCUUUAAUCCAUAUAGAGACUUUCUCAAAUGACACACAUAAUCAGCCUUAUCUGAAUCCUCAUAACCUCUUGGUUGUGCCAUUACAAUCAUUUCUUCCAAUUCACCAUGAAGGAAUGCAGUCUUGACAUCCAUAUGUUCCAGGUGCAUGUCAUUUACUGCAACAAGUGCUGCUGUACCGUACAUCCGCCUUGGCCGUACAGCAGUCUAAAGAGGGUGUUGAUUAAAUUAAAAAAAAAACCCUUAACAUAACAAAUCUUAAAUAUUUAGUGUUUAAAGAGCUUGAAGAAGCCAAAAAGCACUAAACAAAAGGUUGCAUAAUUAAAUAUGAGAUUAUGGUAUUAAAAUUAGGCUCUAGUAGCAUUGUUGAGGGAAGAUGAAAGAAUCUCUCUUCCUAUGUUAAUUCUGGUAUGCAUUCUUUUAUCUUAUAGAUCCACUUGCAGCCAACUAUUUUCUUCUUUGCUGGUUUUGGAAUCAGAUCCCAUGUGUGGUUCUUGAUCAAUGAUCUCAUUUCUUCAUCCAUAGCUGCAACCCACUUCUUUGAGUCCUUACUACUGACAGCCUCAGUGUAAGUCUUUGGUUCAUCUUCUUCUAUUCCUUGUGCUGCUGAUAGUGCAAAUGCAAUCAAGUCUGCAUAUGCAUACCUCUUAGGUGGCUUUGACUCUCUUUUCUUUCUAUCUCUCACCAGCUGAUAAUUUCUGAGGUUAUCAUCACCUUCUGAUUCACCUUCUUGUUCAGACAAAUCUAUUCCAGGUGCAUUCUCAGGCCCUGACUUUUUAUCAGCUUCUGUGCUGGAGCUUGGAAGCUCCACCUCAAGAAAAUUCUUCUUGUCACAACCUGACUCUCUCUCAAUGGUUUGAUUCUCAGUAGCUGAGUUUUGAAACAUUUCAUGUUCAUUAAACACCACAUCCCUGCUGAUUAUUGCCCUUGGUGGCUUCAUAUCUGUACACCACAGCUUGUAGCCCUUCACACCAGCAGGAUAUCCUAAGAACACACAUUUGAAGGCCCUGGGCUCUAGCUUCCCUUGUUUGACAUGAGCAUAGGCUGAGCAGCCAAAUAUUCUCAAAUGAGAAUAGUCUGCUGGUUUGCCAGACCAGAGCUCAUAUGGAGUUCUGAAAUUGAUUCCAGAAGAGGAACUCCUGUUUACUAUGUAGCAAGCAAUCUCUAAAGCUUCAGCCCACAGGCUCAUGGGUAGCUUAGAGUGGAUCAGCAUACACCUAACUUUGUCUAUUAGAGUUCUAUUCAUUCUUUCAGCUAAUCCAUUUUGCUAUGGUGUUUGUCUUACUGUUUUGUGUCUAACCAUACCAUGUUUUGUACAUAAAUCAUCAAAGUCCUUAUUACAGAACUCUAACCCAUUAUCUGUCCUCAGCCUUUUUACCUUCCUAUUUUUCUGUGUUUCAACUAAUGUUUUCCAGUUCUUAAACUGUUCAAACACUUUAUCUUUGCUCUUCAAACUAAAUACCCAAACCAUUCUUAAGAGAUCAUCAAUAAGAGAUAAGAAAUACCUAGCCCCACCUAGAGAAGCUGUCUGUGCAGGCCCCCACAGAUCAGCAUGAAUGUAGUCUAGAGUCCCCUUUGAAUUAUGGAUACCAGUACUGAAUUUCACUCUUGAAGAUUUUCCUAGGACACAAUCUUCACAGAACUUCAAAGGCUCUAUCUUAUCUACUCCUAAGACUCCCUGUUUUGAUAGCUCAAUUAAGCCCAUUUCACUCAUGUGGCCUAACCUCAUAUGCCACAGCAUGGUUUUGUUUAGUUUCUGGUUUGACACAGCAACAUCCCCUGUGACAGCUGAUCCCUGUAACACAUACAGACCAUUGCUCAUAUUCCCUUUCAUCACAACCAUUGACCAUUUCAAGACCUUUAAAGUGCCUGACUCAAGUUUGACUAGACAUCCUGUUUUAUCUAGCAUGCCUAGGGAGAUAAGAUUUCUUUUGAGAUCAGGCACAUGUCUGACAUCCCUUAGUUUGUUUAGUUUCUGGUUUGACACAGCAACAUCCCCUGUGACAGCUGAUCCCUGUAACACAUACAGACCAUUGCUCAUAUUCCCUUUCAUCACAACCAUUGACCAUUUCAAGACCUUUAAAGUGCCUGACUCAAGUUUGACUAGGCAUCCUGUUUUAUCUAGCAUGCCUAGGGAGAUAAGAUUUCUUUUGAGAUCAGGCACAUGUCUGACAUCCCUUAGUUUCCUAAUCAUGCCAUCGAACACUCUUAACCUAAUAGAACCUCUGCCAACCACUCUGCAGCUUGAAUCAUUACCCAUUACAACUAUCCCACCAUCACAAGUCUCAUAGUUUGUGAAUAAAAUUUUAUUAGGGCACAUGUGGAAGGAACAACCAGAAUCUAAAACCCAAUUACCUUUUGUUUGAGCAUCAGUUGCUAUUAGAACUCCAGCUGAGUCAUAGCCAUCAGAUUCUUCAAAUUCUGAUGCAACAGCAGCAUCUAUAUUCUUCUCAUUUGCAUUAUUUUUCUUGUUUUUAAAUUCAGGGCAAUCUUUCUUGAAAUGGCCCUCCUUAUGACAGUGAAAGCAUUUCAAGUUCUUUUGCCUGGAUUUUGAUCUCUUCUUCUUGUUCUUACUUAUCUCUCUCUUUUCAGUUCUUCCUCUUGCUGUCAGACCUUCUCCAUCCCUGGUUUCUUUCUUGAUUGCUGCCUUGGAACUCAGAGUUUCCUUUACAUCUCCCAUAGCGAGAGUCUGUCUCCCAUACAUUAAUGUAUCCACUAGAUUCUCAUAGGAACUCGGCAGAGAGCAGAGCAGGAUCAUGGCUUUGUCUUCAUCAUCAAUCUUCACAUUUAUGUCUUCAAGAUCCAAGAUGAUCUUGUUGAAGGCAUCAAUGUGAUCAGUAAUUGAUGAUCCUUCUUCCAUCUGCAAGGUAUAAAGNNNNNNNNNNNNNNNNNNNNNNNNNNNNNNNNNNNNNNNNNNNNNNNNNNNNNNNNNNNNNNNNNNNNNNNNNNNNNNNNNNNNNNNNNNNNNNNNNNNNNNNNNNNNNNNNNNNNNNNNNNNNNNNNNNNNNNNNNNNNNNNNNNNNNNNNNNNNNNNNNNNNNNNNNNNNNNNNNNNNNNNNNNNNNNNNNNNNNNNNNNNNNNNNNNNNNNNNNNNNNNNNNNNNNNNNNNNNNNNNNNNNNNNNNNNNNNNNNNNNNNNNNNNNNNNNNNNNNNNNNNNNNNNNNNNNNNNNAAAAAGCCAAAUCAAAGAAAAUUUAAUCCUGCUGUACCGUACAUCCGCCUUGGCCGUACAGCAGAAUUUGUUGUAACCAAAUUAAUCACCAAGACCAACUUGGAACCCCCAAGACCCACUCUAUGAACCUUGAUCUUGUACUGGAAAUAAUCAAUCAACUAAGAUUUCCCAAGAAAUAUGAAUAAGUACUUGAAACCAUCCACACAAUCAAAGAAAAUCAGAUCACACACUUGAACCAAAGAUUAUAGUGGUUCGGCAAAUUUCUUUGCCUACAUCCACUGUGGAAAACAAAGCAAACUCUUUACUGAUUUCAGAGAACAAGUUACAAAUCUGGAGAAUACAUGUAAAUGAAUCGAUACCCUAAACAACAGAUCAUAUGCCCUUUUAUACUCCACUCGGAUCAAUCAGAAAGAACCUGAAGAAGCCAGUUCACGCUCAUAAGACACAUGUAAUGAACGGCAGCAAACAGCAAAAUACAGAAACAACAAAAAGUAUAUGCACGUAAUGGUUGGAAACAACUUGGUGGAGGCAUGCAAGUAUUUGUUAUACUAAGACAGAGAGGAAAAAUCUGAUGCAGCAUCCAGAAUUUUUGCAAAUAGUGAAUUGAAAUCGUCAACAAAUGGUGGAAAAAGAACAGUAAAUUUUUAUUUUAUUAUUAACAACACAUAAUUUAUCCUUAAUUUAAAUAAAAGGAUAAAUUAUUAAUUGUACAUAAUAUCCUAAUAUUUGGAAAAAAAUUGUUAACAAUUCAUAAUUUGAAGAAGUAUGCAUAUUAUACCAUAAGAAAAAAAUGUUGGAGUUUGGACGAUGAUAUCUAAAAAAAUGAAGGUUGAAUUUUGGAGGAGGUGACGAAGAGAUGGAACAACAUUAUUUAUUGUUUAUUUAGUCAUGGAAUAACAACAUUGCUUGACAUAGAUGAUGUCGUAGUGUAAUAAAAGGGACGACAUGUCAAUAUUUAUCGGACGACAUGACAUUAUUGACCAGGUAAAUGGGAUGACAAGUAUAUUUUUUUAUUAAAGCUUCUUCUAUCUUAGAAGAGUAGAUUAUUGUAAUGAUGUCAACACUUGGAAACGCCAGCUAACCGAUUAGUGGAUAGCAGACACAUAUUGUAAACUUAGGGUAUACAAGUGAUACAUGCAAAAAAUAAUGUAGUGUACGUGAUAUAAGUGUCAUUUAAGGGUAGAUGAGUGAAACAUUUUGAUUGUGAUAUAAGUUGCAAAAAGUUAACACAGUAAGUGCGAAAUAAAAAGAAAAAAAAUUAAGUAAUUUCAAAACGUCCCCAUGUCUUCAAAAACUGUCUUAUUUUGAAUGUUAAUUUAUUUAUUAAAAAAAUAAGAGUCUUUUAGGCACAUAAAUUAUAAUAAAUUAUUGAACAAAGAAUAAUGAAAAAAAAAGUAAAAUGUAAUUAUAAUGCAGUGUUAGGGGUUGGUUAAUGAAGUUAAAGAUGGUGGAAAAGGGUUAUAUAGAAGUAAAAUGUAAUUAUAAUGCAGUGUUUGGUAUGAAUAAGUAAAUGAAUAAUAAUGCAAAUUGGGUAUACGAACUUAUAAUGUGAUAAUAAUGGUAUGUCCGUAAAAAGACCCGUAGGGCAAGAUUAAAGGCUAAAUUGUGCAGUUAUGUUAAUAAUUUUAUUUUGUAAUAAAAUAGGAGGGGCUGCAAUGUUAGUAGGCAAAAAUCAAGUACAAGUUGCGGUUGUAAUAGGUUUUGUAAGUCUUGUGUUGAAUCUAAUGGUUGGAUAAAAAAGAGAAAAUAAUGGCGUAUGAAAUCAGAAUUGCAUGGUAAGUAUACCUCGGUUGUAGUUGGAAAACAUUUCCAUCGGAAGAGAAAAAUUGAAAAUGAGUUAUGCUGUAAAAUGUUAAUGUGCUGAAGAGUGUGCACAUGUGUAAAGCCCAAGAAUCGGUGUUUUGUUGAGGGUCCAACCUUUCCCCUGGGCAAUGCAACAACGUUGGAAUGUGUUGAAAAUUGUGGUCUUUUAACGAAAAAUGUAAUAAAAAUUUGUUCUUAUUUUUUGUUAGAGCCAGGGCGGGUUUGUUGAAAGAUGAGUUUUGACUUGAUUCGCCAGUAAAAUGAAAAAAUAUAUUUAAAAUUUGGCUUCUAUUUUUUAAAAAAUUAAAAAAAAAGUCGUCAUAUCCGCAGUAAAAUAUACUCCACCCGGCAAUAUAUUGAAAUUUAAAUUCUCACCCCAAGAAUUUUAAAUACAAAUUGAAAGAGUUGGGCUGUUGAAAGUAAAAAGAAGCACGUAAAAAAAAAUAUGAAUUAAAAUAUUGAAAUAAGACAUAAGUUCAUUAAUUUGUACAUUAAGCAAACAUAUACCAAUUCCAAACGGCAGUCGAACGUUAUUAUUAUUAUUUCUUGCUGGUGGCGUUAAUAAUAAUAAUAAUAACAAUCAGGGUAUCAAGAGGGUUAAUGGAGACCAGAUCAAGAAAAAGAGGAGGCAACAAGAGAAGGCUGAGAUGCUCUUCCACCUAAUUUGCUGGGGACCCAAUUAAUUAAUUAUUUUUAUUUCUUCUUUUUCUUCAUUAUUUAAAAAAUUAAAAAAUUAAAAAAAAGUCUUAUGGGAGAGAAAGAAAUGUAUUGGUUUAUCUUUAUUCUAGGAAUCUUGGUGCUUAAUGGAAAUAAAUCAUAUGCUUUCAAUUUAUUGGCUUUCAAUUUCAAAUAAUUUUUAUUUGAACAUAAAAAUUAGCUCAGAUAUUUAGGCAUAAACAUCCUUCCAGAAUUUUCUAUCAGAAAUAAUUUAGAAUUUCAACUCAAUUUAGAUAUAUUAAAAUGUUGAUGUAUAAUACAUAAUUUGAUGGGUAUUUUAGUAAUUUGAAUAAAUUUAUCAUAGAAGAUUAAGAAAAUAAAAUAAAAUAAACCUUAGCAAUGAGUAAGGUAAAAAGUUUUGGUUUUGAGUAUGUAAUUGUAAACAGUAGAUUUACCACACGUAAAUGUGUAAUUGUGAAUCACAUGUUCAUGUUUCAGUGAACCCUAAAGAGUAACCGAUGAGAACACUGAUAUUUAGCCCGGAAUUUCAUCUAUUAAAAUUUUUUAAAUCAAUAUUUUUGUUAAAAUUAAACAAUCAUUGUCCGGAUGGGGGAUGGUCAUCUUUCAGCCAUUGUUUAAACAAAAGAAAUUCGGUAAAUCGAAUUUCUGCCAAAUAUAAUUUUUCUAUUUAUACUAAUGUUUAAUUAGAUAUAGCUGCAUAUUAUUUCUUAUUCAAUAAUUGCUCAAUAUUAAAAAAAAAUCCCAUUUUCAUCGAGUAAUCAGACAUCUAUGUCUCUUAGAUAUGCUUAUCAAGCAUUUGAUCAACCAAUUUAUAUGAGGAGACCUAGCAAUAUAAUGCAAAUUUGUUGGCACGAGAAGAUUAAAAUCUAGAUAACAUAUGGUAAAUACAGUAUGUUGGUUCCAAUAUGCUAUUUGUGGUAAUCGUCUUUUCAAUGCUCAGUGCUAUUUUUUAGGGAGAUAUUUUUAUUGGCUGCACAUUAAUAGAAACAAGAAUAUAUAAUCAAUUGGAUUACCUUGUAAUUGAAGGCAAAUAACAAACAAAAGUAAUUCCAAUAAAUCAAAGCAUUAAGUUGUCAAUGAAGACUAAAACAUAAACAAUGUUACUCCAAUGAAGACUAAAACUUGCUGGUGAAAAUUUGAAGUAAUUGAAUUGAAAACUAAUUAAAUACCAAACCCAACGAUUACGAACAUUGUUCAACUCACAUAAGUGGAUUAAAAGCAUGGAAGGGAUUACUCUUUAAAGAACGGCUCGAUGCUUCCAUCUUCCGUGUUAUAUAUUCCAGUAUCUCUAACUCCUGCUUCAACAGAUUCCUCCUUGGUCAGGCACGAAUAGGAGUCAACAAAAUCAUCAGCGAAAUAUAUGCAGUUGGGUUUACACUGAUAAUUCCUCGAUGCAUCAACAGAUAGUGAAGAAUAAAAGCCAAGAAGAGGGAUCUAUAACUCAAGUUCUUGAUAUUCGUCCAUUUAUUAGUACUUAGAUCGACCUCAAAAACCUGAAAUCCCGAAGUUUUGAAAGUGUUCUCUUCAGUUGGGUAGCCCAGAUGAGUAGGUGGUACUUGUACUACCCUCCGUGAAACCACAGAUAAUGUACCAUCAUCAGAUUCAACCACAUACAAGUACUCCACAGCAUCUUCAAUAAAUUCGGUAGGUAAUUUCGUGACUCGUAUAACAGUUCCAUCAUUAUCUUUGAUGGCAAAUAUCCGACCAAAAGUAUUAAUAUCAUAAAAUUGAUUUUGGAUAUAAAUAACAUCAAGAGUGGCCGCACUUUACAACUCCCAAACCAUUCCAUUUACUUGGUAUUUAAGUGCCAGAUAAUAGUUGGAUAUAACAGAUUUGCUGAUCCUUAGAAAGGGCCUUUUGAGUAUUAUCUGGUAUCGGAUGUCCUUAUCUACUACAACAAAGUCCAACAUCAUGGUUCUUCCAAAGGCCUUCAAACUAAUGGUAAGUAGCUCCACUACUCCCAUCGGCAUCAAUCUUCUUCCUCCAAACCCUUUUAAUGAGGUAUUGCUGGGCUCCAUUUUCAGGUCUGCUAUUCCCAUUUCAUCCAAAGUGACUUUGAAAAGAAUCUUGACUGAACUACCCAAAUCAAUCAGGUUCUGGUAUAUUCCUUGCUCGCAACAUUAGCUUUUAUAACCAGUCCGGUCUUCAUGGGGGUGCACCACCUCCUCCUAGCCAUCUUCUAUCCACAUAAUUGGAACUUGCUUGGACUUUACCUGUUUUGCUAGUGGUACAUUGAAGAGAACAUAAUGGCUGGUCGUGACAUACUUUCAAUAAUUCUUGCGAGCCCUGUUUAAGUCCCCCUCUAAUGUUGGACCAUCCUGCAAUGACUCUGGUCAUUGGUCCUCCAGAAUGGUGCCUCCUACAUUCUCCUCGGGCACGUAUGCCUCAUCUAUCAUAGGAAACGAACCGUCAACAUCCAGAUAACUGUUUCUUUGUUAACCAUUUAGAACUCCAAAAUUCUCACCUUUUGAUCCCUUAAACUACAGUAUCCGAUCUAGACCACCAUAAACUACCAGCUAGUAGUUUUCACAAACUUAAUAUCUUCAAAAUAUCCAACCUCGGUAAACAACCAACAAUCAUGCUUCAAUAUAAAUGCUAAUCUCAGCCAAAUUCAGCCCAGUCAUAAUAAAAAGAAUUCAAAUACAAUAGUCCCAUUAGUUACACAACCAAACCCAUGAUUCGAUGAAGCAUAUCCUCGGAUUUUAAGCUAAUUCUCAGCAAAAUUCUCCGCAAAUUCACCCCUAAGCAAUAAUUCCUGAACAUAGCUACACGCACUUAACUAAAACCAUGAAGCAUCCUCAAGAACAAAAGCAUUAAUCAAUUUAACUCAAACCUAUCAUUCUCACUGUAACCAAACAUCAAUGCUACAAAUCAUCAUCAGCUGUCCAAAGCAAAAAUAAACGAAAAUCAGGAACCAUUCUAACAAAAAAAUUGGUAUUUAACCCAAAUAACUAAAAUCUUACUAAGUUAAUUGGAAUAUUGAAUGCAAAAGCAGUAAAUAAUAGUUGAAACAAAUGAACUAAAAGGGGAGAAAGCAAAGCUAAAUUUUGGAACUUAUCUAAUGAGAAAUGAAUUUACUUGGAAUUUUACCUAAAAUAUUAAUAUUCAACGAACUUAGUAGGAAUAUCUAAUAUAGAACUAGUGGAUUUAGAAGUGGAAACAAAUAAACAUAUUAGUGACAAGUAUAACUGAAAUUAAGGACAUAUAAAAUUAACUUAGAACGUCAACCUAAUGUGUUAAUAUUUAGAGUGAUGAUACAGUCACAAACUUUUAUACAAACUUAUAUUGUACAAACUAAUGUGGUAUUAAUUCAUUGGUUGAAUAAAAAUAUAAAAUAAUAUAAAUAAAUCAUGUAAACCAAGAGAUAUUUAAUUCAACCAAUGAAUUAACGCCACAUCAGUUUGUACAAAAUAAGUUUAUACAAGAGUUUGUGGCUAUAUCAUUACUCUAAUAUUUAACCAAAAGAGUUGGAACAUGAUUACGUAUAUUACUUUUUUUAACUCUCAUUUAAAUUAAAAAUAUUUUUAUAUUAAUUGUUUAUAAAUUUCCUCAUUUUUUUAUUUUAUUUUAUUUUUUUACAUUAAAAAUAAUUUUUAAAAUUAUUAAAUGAACAACCAGUAAAAUAUCAAUUAUUCAAGUUGUAAAAGUAGGCUAUAUGUGAUACAACAAUGCACUCUACAAUGACUUAUAUAGUCAUUACUACACUUGGUGUCACCAGCCAUUUGCCAUUUGUCAUUUGUCACUGGUCACCAUCACCCUUUGAGUUAUUUUUUGGAGAAAAAAAAAAGCGUCCCUCCAUAAACCUACAAUCUAAAUUAGUAAUGAUUUCACUUUCCCAAAAAACAAAUACAACCUCAUUUUUUUUUUUAAAUUAGAAAAAUUAUCUUUGUAUCACUUCUCUUUAAUUAUAUGUAUAUCCAACCACUACAAAAGUUUGAUAUAUUCUCUGCACCACUUUCAUAUUUAAACUUGUAUCAAUCAAUUAAUUCGACACUAGUAAAGUUAGAAUCCCUUAAAUAAUUUAAAUAAAAUGAUUUCUUUACAUGUAAAUAAAUUUAAAGUCUAUUUUAUCCUACAAAAUUUGGAAAAAUAAAAAAUAUAAUUAGAAGAAUACCCUAAAUAUAAUAAAACAAAUAAAUCUUUAAAUCCAAGAUGUUCAUUUUCGUAAUUAUAAUUUUUAAAUGAUAAUUUUCAGUAUAAUUUAAAAAUUAUAGUUACAAAAUUAACAUCUUGGAUUUUGAGAUUUAUUUGUUUUAUUAAAUUUAAGGAUAUUCUUGUAAUUAUAUUUUUUAUUUUUCAAAAUUUUUUAGGAUAAAAUAAUUUUUUUUAUUCAUUUCGGAGCAAACGGUCAUCUUAUUUAAAGUAUUUAAUGGAUUCUAAAUUUGUUAAUGUAAAAGUGAUUGAUUGAUAUAAGUUUAGAAAUAAAGGUGGUGUAAAAAAAUAUGUCAAAACUUUAUAAUGGUUAAAUGUACAUGUAAUAAAAGAAAAGAUGCUGAGAUAAUUUUCCAAAAAAUUAAUUCGACCUUUUUAACAGCUCUCUAUUAUUUCUCUAUAUAAGUACCCAAACCCAACGAACAAAGCGUCACUUAAAGUCUCAAGAGCUCAACAAUCUCUCUGCUCUAUAAGUUGCUGAUCAAUUUUCUUCCAGAACCCAACUUAAUAUAUAUAUUUUUUGGCAUCAUUAAAAAAGAGUACUUGGGGUGAGGAGAGUGCAGUAAGAGACAUGAGCAGCAACGGUGGCAGAGUUUGCAAGUUUGAUUUAGCAUUCAACAAGCUUAUGCUGCGACAAUAUUGUGGCUGCAAUAAGGGCAACAAUAAUUCUAUUGUAAGGAGUCUUGGCGGUGGCGAUAAUAAUAAUAAUAAUAACAAUGAGGCUAUCAAGGGGGUUAAUGGAGACGAGAUCAUGAAGAAAAAGAGGAGGCAAGAAGAAAAGGCUGAGACUGUCUUCCACCUAAUUUGCUGGGGACCCAAGUAAUUAAUUAUUUUUAUUUCUUCUUUUCUUCGUUAUUUAGAAAAAAAAAUCAUAUGGGAGACAAAGAGAUGUAUUGAUUUAUUUUUAUUUUAGGAAUUUUGGUGCUUAUGGAAAUAAAUCAUAUACUUUCAAUUUAUUUGCUUUCAAUUUCAAAUGAGCUC